ACGUACGCUGGCGGCACGCCUAACACAUGCAAGUCGAACGAAGUAGCAAUACUUAGUGGCAGACGGGUGAGUAACAUGUGGGUAUCUACCCUUUGGCCUGGAAUAACACGAGGAAACUUGUGCUAAUACCGGAUAAGUCUUUACGGAGAAAGCUUUAUGCACCAUUGGAUGAGCCCGCACUUGAUUAGUUUGUUGGUAGGGUAAUGGCCUACCAAGACUAUGAUCAAUAGCUGAUUUGAGAGGAUGAUCAGCCACAUUGGGACUGAGACACGGACCAGACUCCUACGGGAGGCAGCAGUGAGGAAUAUUGG
rnacentral:rRNA from 1 species